AAUUAUAUAAUAUAAUUAGUAUAUUUGAUUUCCAAUCAAAAAGUUUUAUUAAAAUAUAAAUA
rnacentral:tRNA from 1 species